rnacentral:RNase_P_RNA from 1 species
GCAGGCGGCUGGAUGAUCGCUGCCGCUCGGGCGCAAGCGUUGAGCGGGGGAGGAAAGUCCGGACUCCGCAGGGCAGUGUGCCGGAUAACGUCCGGGAUUUGUGCUUCAAGGUACAAAGACGGCCAGUGCAACAGAGAAUAUACCGCCUCCGACGGACGGCCGCGCAAGCGUUCCGUGAAAGCCGCCGAAGGUAAGGGUGAAAAGGUGCGGUAAGAGCGCACCGGGCAGGCAGUAAUGCCGGCCGCAUGGUAAACCCCACACGGAGCAAGACCAAAUAGGCAGGGAUCGCGCCCGCACUCUCCAGCGGGCACGAGCGUAUCGGCCCGAUGCGCCCAGGCGGAGAGUUCAGGUUGAGCGCUUGCGUUCAACCAGCCGGAACUUGCGGGUAGGUUGCUGGAGCGGCGUGGUAACGCGUCGCCUAGAGGAAUGAUCGUCUAAAACAGAAUCCGGCUUACGGGCCGUCUGCAUGG